UACGUAGGGGGCAAGCGUUGUCCGGAAUCAUUGGGCGUAAAGAGCGCGUAGGCGGCCCAGUAAGUCCGCUCUGAAAGUCAGGGGCUCAACCCCUGAAUGCGGGUGGAUACUGCUGGGCUAGAGUCCGGAAGAGGCGAGUGGAAUUCCCGGUGUAGCGGUGAAAUGCGCAGAUAUCGGGAAGAACACCCGUGGCGAAGGCGGCUCUCUGGGACGGUACUGACGCUGAGACGCGAAAGCGUGGGGAGCGAACAGG
rnacentral:rRNA from 1 species